UAAAGUCCUGUUGAAGUUUGUUAGUACCUUGCCUGGCUGAUACAACACUAAGGAAAUUAAAAUCAGUCUUUGUACAUUGACAGUAUAAAAAACAACAAAGGAGCAGCAAUGCCUCUGCUUUCCUGAUGCUGUCCCAGACAACAAUCCAAAGUAUGAGUCCCAAGCUGGGAUGUCUUAAUCACUAACUGCUGUACAUUUGUACAGAUCAAACUGUCAUGCUCACACACACACUGAGGAAAAGGAACAAGCAGACCACCCAUGCAUGUACCAAGGGGAGUGAGCAGACACCUGUGGGCCACAUUUUCUGUGAGAAAGUACCUGCAGUCCUGAAGAAUUUUAUUGUUAACAACUGCAGGUUGUGAACCAAAAUCUUCCCAUGGUGGACAACAGAUGGCUGUCUAUAAUAUUUCUCUCUGAAAGCUGAUGAAAUGUGUGAACUAGUUUAUAAAAUGUAAUCAACACAAAACAGUCUCAGGGGUACACAUACAAUAUGUACACAACACACUGUAUUGAACAAUCAGGACUAAUAAUAGACUGUCCACAAAGACUAUUCCACAGAAUGAACUCAAUACUAACAUCAUUCAGGCAAAAGCAUGAGAUAUCGGCCUUAUGCCAUAACCUGAAGGUCAACAGGGGGAGUGAGUUCUGGAGCAGAGGGCCCUCCACUGAGGAAGUUCUACCAGGAGUCUCAAACCAUACAAUUCUAGGGAGCACUAGCAAAAGCUAUCAGAUCUCCAAGUGUUACACUAAAGUCUGUCCUCCUUCUAAUGACCCUACCCCAGAAGGAAAAUAACUCUGCAGAACAUCUCAUUUCUUUUGUGGGAACAAGAUGAUACUGAAAUAGAGAUGGAGAAAAAAGUUUUCCCCAAGUCCAUUUGUAAAGAGCAUUUUUAGUUUUCAUAAGUCAGUACAAGGUUUUAAUAACAGGACAGUGGUGCCUUAUAUUUUUAUUACCAACUCUCACUCCAAAGGAUCCCAAGGCACUAUAUACACUAUGGGAUUGACAUAAAACAUUACUGAAAUGCAACUGUCUCUGAGAUGAAAGGGGCAUUGGAGGCUCCUCAGCGUAAGCAGUAGGUAGACAUUAUGCACCAUUACAAAAUGGUAGGAUACAGAUACAGUAGGAUUUUUGGCUGCUGCUGUAACCUGACCCAGAAAACAUCUUUACAUUUCAGUUUAGCCCACUUGUUUUCAGAAGUCACCAACAGCCACAGAGCACACACUUCAGUGCACAAGUCAGGGGAAGAGCAAAUUUUAGCCAAAGUCACCAAAGUCAUCCUAUCACUUCCAAAGAGGAACAAGGGAUCUUUAGUGUCCACCAGGACCAGAUGACAUUUCCCCCUUUUUUAGGAUUUGUCCAAAGCACCAUUAUUAUAGUAACUGCAUGAUCUGUUUGCCUACCUCAGAAAGAUGAAUGGCUGAGUGCACAUUGCCAGCAUGCAAACCUUGGGUUUCUGGGAGCCUACAUAUUUUAAAGCUUUGAAAACCAGGCCUUCACCCUCCACAGUAGUACACCAUUAUACAUUUAGCUCUAAAGCUAGUGGUUAUGAGGUGACGUACCUAAGAUGGAAACUAACUAUAAAAACACCUCCAUCCGAAUGGGGUCAGCCUCUCUUCUGUGGUGUGGCUGAUAUUUUGAAAUGACAUUUGCUUGUGUAGUGGAAAUUCCUCUCUUUGUUUUGAAGAGUACACAUAACCAUGAGAUUUAUGUACUGUUAUCUUUACAUUGUUCUCCUGUAAGCUUUUUGAAAGCUGGACCCAUAAAUCUGUUAACUAAAUAAAAAUGUGUUCCUCCACUGGC